UGCAGGGAGGGCGGAGGGCCACUGAAAAAGAUGUCCUUGUGUCCUUUGAUACUGACACAGUGAUUGAUUGACAGAGUUGCAGAGAAGAGUGAAUUAAUGAAGAAACUACUUUUGUAAGGGUGCCCUUGCUGCUUUCAGUUGUUCAAGUUCGUAAUCAUUCAGUUUCAUUGCCUUGCUACAUAUUCGUACUUGAGCAUUAUCAGAGGGUCAUUCAACAUUUUCUCAACCAGCUGGGUUGUUCCAGGGAUGUGCCUUUCAUUGGUGUGGACUUUAAAGACACCAAUACUGUCAAUGUACAUUUUUUGAAACAGUCUCAUUCUCACUGUUCUCUUGACCCACCUGGCAUCUCUUUCUCUCACCUUACGGCAUAUUCGGAGUGAAGGGUUGCCUUUCCCUGAUGUGUUCUUUUUCUUUCAUCGUGAGUUUCUUAAACAGCUCUUAUUUUAAUUCUAGAAGAGACAGUAUCGGAUGAAUCUAGUAUAUCUGACCUCACCUCUGCUUUCUGUCUCCCUCUGAGCACCAAGGUCCAUGCAGCCUUUUGUCUCAGCAUAAGAA